rnacentral:rRNA from 1 species
UGGGGAAUAUUGGACAAUGGGCGAAAGCCUGAUCCAGCCAUGCCGCGUGAGUGAAGAAGGCCUUCGGGUUGUAAAGCUCUUUUAGUCGGAAAGAAAGAGUCGCAAUGAAUAAUUGUGAUUUAUGACGGUACCGACAGAAAAAGCACCGGCUAACUACGUGCCAGCAGCCGCGGUAAUACGUAGGGUGCGAGCGUUAAUCGGAAUUACUGGGCGUAAAGGGUGCGCAGGCGGUUUUGCAAGUCAGAUGUGAAAGCCCCGGGCUUAACCUGGGAAUUGCGUUUGAAACUACAAGGCUAGAGUGCAGCAGAGGGGAGUGGAAUUCCAUGUGUAGCAGUGAAAUGCGUAGAGAUGUGGAAGAACACCGAUGGCGAAGGCAGCUCCCUGGGUUGACACUGACGCUCAUGCACGAAAGCGUGGGGAGCAAACA